rnacentral:rRNA from 1 species
UACGUAGGGUGCGAGCGUUAAUCGGAAUUACUGGGCGUAAAGCGCGCGCAGGCGGUUCGCCAAGUCGGGUGUGAAAUCCCCGGGCUUAACCUGGGAAUUGCGCUUGAAACUAGCGGGCUUGAGUGUGGCAGAGGGGGGUGGAAUUCCACGUGUAGCAGUGAAAUGCGUAGAGAUGUGGAGGAACACCGAUGGCGAAGGCAGCCCCCUGGGUCAACACUGACGCUCAGGCACGAAAGCGUGGGGAGCAAACAGG